rnacentral:rRNA from 1 species
CCUACGGGGGGCAGCAGUGGGGAAUAUUGGACAAUGGGGGGAACCCUGAUCCAGCCAUGCCGCGUGUGUGAAGAAGGCCCUCGGGUUGUAAAGCACUUUCAGUGAGGAAGAACGCCUGGUGGUUAAUACCCAUCAGGAAAGACAUCACUCACAGAAGAAGCACCGGCUAACUCCGUGCCAGCAGCCGCGGUAAUACGGAGGGUGCGAGCGUUAAUCGGAAUUACUGGGCGUAAAGCGCGCGUAGGUGGCUUGAUAAGCCGGUUGUGAAAGCCCCGGGCUCAACCUGGGAACGGCAUCCGGAACUGUCAAGCUAGAGUGCAGGAGAGGAAGGUAGAAUUCCCGGUGUAGCGGUGAAAUGUGUAGAGAUCGGGAGGAAUACCAGUGGCGAAGGCGGCCUUCUGGACUGACACUGACACUGAGGUGCGAAAGCGUGGGUAGCAAACAGGAUUAGAUACCCUAGUAGUC